UACGUAGGGUGCGAGCGUUGUCCGGAAUUACUGGGCGUAAAGAGCUCGUAGGCGGUCUGUCGCGUCGGAUGUGAAAACCCAGGGCUCAACCCUGGGCCUGCAUUCGAUACGGGCAGACUAGAGUAUGGCAGGGGAGACUGGAAUUCCUGGUGUAGCGGUGAAAUGCGCAGAUAUCAGGAGGAACACCGGUGGCGAAGGCGGGUCUCUGGGCCAAAACUGACGCUGAGGAGCGAAAGCGUGGGGAGCGAACAGG
rnacentral:rRNA from 1 species